rnacentral:rRNA from 1 species
UACGGGGGGAGCAAGCGUUGUUCGGAUUUACUGGGCGUAAAGGGCGGGUAGGCGGCCACCGCAAGUCAGUUGUGAAAUCUCUGGGCUUAACCCAGAAAGGUCAACUGAUACUGCGGGGCUAGAGUGCAGAAGGGGCAACUGGAAUUCUCGGUGUAGCGGUGAAAUGCGUAGAUAUCGAGAGGAACACCUGCGGCGAAAGGCGGGUUGCUGGACAGUUCCUGACGCUGAGGCACGAAGGCCAGGGGAGCAAACGGG